rnacentral:tRNA from 1 species
GCCUGAUUGGCUCAGUGGUUGAGUGUCUGCCUUUGACUCAGGUUGUGAUCCUGGGGUCCUGGGAUCGAGUCCUGCAUCGGGCU